rnacentral:rRNA from 1 species
UUAACCUACGGGGUGCAGCAGUGGGGGAUAUUGCACAAUGGGGGGAACCCUGAUGCAGCGACGCCGCGUGGGUGAAGGAGCGUUUCGGCGCGUAAAGCCCUAUCGGCAGGGAAGAAGAUGACGGUACCUGACCAAGAAGCCCCGGCUAACUACGUGCCAGCAGCCGCGGUAAUACGUAGGGGGCAAGCGUUAUCCGGAUUUUCUGGGUGUAAAGGGGGCGCAGACGGCAAUGCAAGCCGGGAGUGAAAGCCCGGGGCCCAACCCCGGGACUGCUCUGUGCACUGCAUGGC